UCUAUGGAGAGUUUGAUCCUGGCUCAGGACGAACGCUGGCGGCGUGCUUAACACAUGCAAGUCGAGCGAGGCUCCUCCUUCGGGAGGAUGCCCUAGCGGCGAACGGGUGAGUAACACGUGGGCAACCUGCCCCUAGCACUGGGAUAACCCCGGGAAACCGGAGCUAAUACCGGAUACGACCACAGUUGGCAUCAACAUGUGGUGGAAAGAUUCAUCGGCUAGGGAUGGGCCCGCGGCCUAUCAGCUUGUUGGUGGGGUAGUGGCCCACCAAGGCGACGACGGGUAGCCGGCCUGAGAGGGCGACCGGCCACACUGGGACUGAGACACGGCCCAGACUCCUACGGGAGGCAGCAGUGGGGAAUAUUGC
rnacentral:rRNA from 1 species